GCACCAAGAAACAAGUGUGAAACUAUGGACAGCGUAACAUUUCCUGUUGGCCACCUGCGUUUAAUCUCCGACUGUCCUGGCUUAUACAGCUGUUCACCUCAGAUCACAAUCUCACCUCCAGAAAGGAGGCCUGGCACAAUCAGGAAGCCAUCUACAUCUCUGCUCCCCUCAUGCAAAGAUAAACAAAUCACAACUCUGUUUAGGUUUGGAUGAAGUUCUAGAGGCUCUUGGCAUCAUUCAAGGUCCUGAAACUAAGAAGAUCACAGGGAUGGAGGAAAGAGAUCUUAAGGGAGGUGGGAAGUAAAGAAGCUGAUUGAAUACAAGCAGCAGGAAGACUGAAGAGGGACUGAGGGAAGAGAAGGAAGCAGCUGGAGGAGAGGGAAGGGCAUGGCAAAGUGGGAGGAGCAGGAAGAACUGAAUGACAGCUGUAUGUGGAGAUGCUCUAACCCACUACUUCCUGACUGU